rnacentral:rRNA from 1 species
GGGCCCGCACAGCGGUGGAGUAUGUGGUUUAAUUCGAUGCAACGCGAAAAACCUUACCUACUCUUGACAUACUUGGAAGCUCUUGUAAUGAGAGUGUGCCUUUUGGAACCAAGAUACAGGUGCUGCAUGGCUGUCGUCAGCUCGUGUCGUGAGAUGUUCCGUUAAGUCGGAUAACGAGCGCAACCCUUACCCUUAUUUGCCAGCGAUUCGGUCGGGAACUAUAAGGGGACUGCCGGUGAUAAACCGGAGGAAGGUGAGGACGACGUCAAGUCAUCAUGGCCCUUACGAGUAGGGCUACACACGUGCUACAAUGGGGAAUACAGACGGACGCUAAGCCGCGAGGUGGUGAAUACGUUCCCGGGCCUUGUACACACCGCCCGUCACACCAUGGGAAUUGGUUUUACCCGAAGACUGUGUGCUAACCUUUUGGAGGC